rnacentral:lncRNA from 1 species
GAGAGUGUCAGGGGAACUUUAGGACCAAUAAGGCCAGUGUGACUGCAGAGGAAGGAGCACCAGGAAUGGCAGUAGGUGACGCCUUCAAAGAGGCAAAGGAAGCCCUUUCUGUGAAGUUUACGGCCCAGGGAUGAGCAAGGGAAAGUCAAGAGGCAACCUAGUGGAUCACAUUCUUCUCUUCCAUUAUGUGGCAACUGCCCUCCUUCUUCUGAAGAUCAGGGUCCUCACUGCUGGCUGGCUGGUGGGUGGCAGCUUCAAAAUCCCAUAUGAACAUCUGUUUUCUUAGACCACCCCUGCCAUUGUUGCAAGUUGAGUCCCUUGGAAGCAGACUCUGAGAUGGGAAUUAGCACAGAAGAAUUGAAUUGGCAACAAGAUUUUAUCUUAUUCACUGAUAUGCCACACAGAUUCUCCAAACUGUUUGAAGCCAGUAAGAGAGAAGGAAGAAAAGACGAUUCUAGGAUGACACCAGAUUUCUGGUUUUGAUAGCUGCAUUGAAGGAAGCUAGUGCUUCAUACCUACUUUCCUUGGGGGAAAAUGAAUGAAAAAGAGACUGAAUUCAAUCUUGAACAUGAUGAGUUUGAGAUGCCCAGAGCAUCCAAGAUAUUGAAAGUUGGAGAUGUUGAGAAUCCAUGGGAUGGACCAGACUGGAGCUGAAGAAGCCACUGGGAUUAGCACCCUGCAACGUUCAGAUGGUACAACUGAGGCUAUAUUGAGUAAGUGGUCUCACAACUUUGGUCUCAGGGCAGUCUAAGUCCUUGGAGUAGACAUGAUGGGACAGAAAGAACUACGAGGCAAAAAAGGCACUCUUUUCCAUGUCUAAUUCUACAACCUUAGACCACAUACAUUAGGAAUCAUUUUGUGAGCUGCUCUUGGAACUCACCAACCCCAAAUCAAAACAAAUGAGAAUUGCUGCCUGAAGAGUUAGUUGCCAUGUCAAGCCUACACAGCUCCAGGGGCAGGUUGCAAGCUGUUUACAGUCACUACUCGCUGCUGGCAUCUCCAGGCAGGCAUAGCUGUCCACAUAUUGUGCUGGCGCAUGUCACAUCGUAUCUGGGGUCUGAUUUGAGCAGCACACAUCCACAAUGGGAAAAUGAGGCUGGUCAGGUCCUACCCAUGGAGAUCAGAGUGAUCCAUGCCCACAUCUCCAGGUUUGAGCCGUGGUAGAAUCUGUGGCACCUGUCUUAGAAUUGAAAUUCCUUUAUGUGGCUUGGGAGUUGGGUGGGCUAGCUAGGGAGUUUGUCAUGAAGUUGCUUUUGCAUAGCAAGAAUACUACUUUUACUUAGAUUAUAUGUUUAUUUGGAAUGACUUUGAGGGUGGAGGCUAAUGGUUGUUUUGGGGGCAAAUGGCCCACUAAAGACACCCCUUAGUGCCAUCACUUGGGCCACCAUGUUGUUUUCAAAACCCGGCCAUGGCUUGGGGAGCUCAAUAACCAAUCUAUUAGCCAAAGUUAUAGACUUUUCAGGCUUCACAUACCUCUUGCCUUCCUUCUCACCCUCAGGGUA